AGAACGAACGCUGGCGGCAGGCCUCAAACAUGCAAGUCUAGGGGGUGUAGCAAUACAUCACCGGCGGACGGGUGCGUAACGCGUGGGAAUAUACCUAUUGGUUCGGAACAACUGAGGGAAACUUCAGCUAAUACCGGAUGAGCCCUAACGGGGAAAGAUUUCUCGCCAAUAGAUUAGCCCGCGUCCGAUUAGCUAGUUGGUGGGGUAAAAGCCUACCAAGGCGACGAUCGGUAGCUGUUCUGAGAGGAAGAUCAGCCACACUGGGACUGAGACACGGCCCAGACUCCUACGGGAGGCAGCAGUUGGGAAUCUUGGACAAUGGGGGAAACCCUGAUCCAGCCAUGCCGCGUGAGUGAUGAAGGCCUUCGGGUUGUAAAACUCUUUCGACGGGGACGAUAAUGACGGUACCCGUAGAAGAAGCUCCGGCUAACUUCGCGUCAGCAGCCGC
rnacentral:rRNA from 1 species